CCACCACCGAUGCCAGCCCCCGGCUCCCAGACCUGCCCCAUGAGAUGGAGAGAUUCGGGCUGCUGAACAAGACCAAGAUCGCGGAGGGUGGCCGGAAGCUCAGGAAGAGCUGGGGGGUCUCCUGGGUGGUGCUGGCUGGGAACAGCCUCAUCUUCUACAAGGACCCCAAGGCCCCGGCGCCAGCU